rnacentral:rRNA from 1 species
CCCUUAGAUGUUCUGGGCCGCACACGCGCUACACUGAAGGAGGCAGCGUGUGCUCCUGGAUCGAAAGAUUUGGGUAACCCGCGAAUCUCCUUCGUGCUGGGGAUUGAGGUUUGCAAUUAUCCUUCAUGAACGAGGAAUUCCCAGUAAGUGCAAGUCAUAAGCUUGCGCUGACUACGUCCCUGCCCUUUGUACACACCGCCCGUCGCUACUACCGAUUGAAUGAUUUAGUGAGGACUUCGGACUGGGACCGAUGCGGCUUUCGGGCUGCGUCGGUAUUCUGGAAAGAUGUCCAAACUGUAUCAUUUAGAGGAAGUAAAAGUCGUAACA